rnacentral:rRNA from 1 species
AUUGAACGCUGGCGGAAUGCUUUACACAUGCAAGUCGAACGGCAGCACGGGGCAACCUGGUGGCGAGUGGCGAACGGGGGAGUAAUACACUGAAACGUGCCCAGACGGGGGGGAUAACGUAGCGAAAGUAUCGCUAAUACAGCAUAUGCUCUACGGCUGAAAGCGGAGGAUCGCACGACCGCGCUCGAAUGGAGCGGCCGAUGUCAGAUUAGGUAGUUGGUGGGGUAAAGGCCUACCAAGACAACGAUCUGUAGCUGGUCUGAGAGGACGACCAGACACACAGGGACUGAGACACGGCCCAGAUUCCUACGGGAGGCAGCAGUGGGGAAUUUUGGACAAUGGGCGCAAGCCUGAUCCGGCCAUUCCGGUUGCAGGAUGAGGGCUUUCGGGUUGUAAACUGCUUUUGUACGGAACGAAACGGUUUUCUCUAAUACAGGGGGCUAAUGACGGUACCGUAAGAAUAAGCACCGGCUAACUACGUGCCAGCCGCCGCCGUAAAAC